rnacentral:rRNA from 1 species
GACGAACGCUGGCGGCGUGCCUAACACAUGCAAGUCGAGCGGAGUCGAUCGACGGAAGCCUUCGGGCGGAAGAUGGUUGACUUAGCGGCGGAUGGGUGAGUAACGCGUGGGCAACCUGCCUCGAAGACCGGGAUAACAGUCCGAAAGGGCUGCUAAUACCGGAUGUGGUCAAGGAUCCGCAUGGAUUUUUGAUUAAAGGGGAAACCCGUUUCGAGAUGGGCCCGCGUCCUAUCAGCUAGUUGGUGAGGUAAAAGCUCACCAAGGCGACGACGGGUAGCCGGCCUGAGAGGGUGACCGGCCACACUGGAACUGAGACACGGUCCAGACUCCUACGGGGGGCAGCAGUGGGGAAUCUUCCACAAUGGGCGAAAGCCUGAUGGAGCGACGCCGCGUGAGCGAAGAAGGCCUUCGGUUGUAAAGCUCUGUCUGGAGGGACGAAGGAAGUGACGGUACCUCCGGAGGAAGCCACGGCUAACUACGUG